GACGAACGCUGGCGGCGUGCUUAACACAUGCAAGUCGAACGGAAAGGCCCUGCUUUUGUGGGGUGCUCGAGUGGCGAACGGGUGAGUAACACGUGAGUAACCUGCCCUUGACUUUGGGAUAACUUCAGGAAACUGGGGCUAAUACCGGAUAGGAGCUCCUGCUGCACGGUGGGGGUUGGAAAGUUUCGGCGGUUGGGGAUGGACUCGCGGCUUAUCAGCUUGUUGGGGGGGUAGGGGCUUACCAAGGCUUUGACGGGUAGCCGGCCUGAGAGGGUGGCCGGCGACAUUGGGACUGAGAUACGGCCCAGACUCCUACGGGAGGCAGCGGUGGGGAGUAUUGCACAAUGGGCGGAAGCCUGAUGCAGCAACGCCGCGUGCGGGAUGACGGCCUUCGGGUUGUAAACCGCUUUCGCCUGUGACGAAGAGUGAGUGACGGUAAUGGGUAAAGAAGCACCGGCUAACUACGUG
rnacentral:rRNA from 1 species